rnacentral:rRNA from 1 species
GUAGGUGGCAAGCGUUGUCCGGGAAUUAUUGGGGCGUAAAGCGCGCGCAGGCGGUUCUUUAAGUCUGAUGUGAAAGCCCACGGGCUCAACCGUGGAGGGUCAUUGGAAACUGGAGAACUUGAGUACAGAAGAGGAAAGCGGAAUUCCACGUGUGGCGGUGAAAUGCGUAGAGAUGUGGAGGAACACCAGUGGCGAAGGCGGCUUUCUGGUCUGUAACUGACGCUGAUGCGCGAAAGCGUGGGGAGCAAACAGGAUUAGAUACCCUGGUAGUCCACGCCGUAAACGAUGAGUGCUAAGUGUUAGGGGGUUUCCGCCCCUUAGUGCUGCAGCUAACGCAUUAAGCACUCCGCCUGGGGAGUACGGCCGCAAAGGCUG